AAGGGAUUGGAUGGUCCUCUGUAAUGAUCUGGAAAUGAUGACAGCAGCUUCAGGAGAUGAAAUUGAAACUAUAAACCCUGAUUUUCAUACUGAGGUCAGUGCAGCCGCCAUUUGACUGAAACAAAAGUGAAGCCAUAAGGAAAAUGGCAGCUGUUUCAGGAACAAUCAGUAAGCUUCUCUUUACAUUUACAAUCAAAUGUGGGUUUAGAGAUCAUGUACACUUAUAACUAUCAAAUGUAUAACUACAUCAGUGUAAACACAGAGUUUUAUUAAAGAGGUUCUUGGAGGUUUGCUGAAAAUUGUAGGAAAGAGUUUGCAAAAGUGUUUUGCAAAAGUGCCUAAUGUUUUUUUUUUUUUUUGACAGUCAAGGUAAAUGUAAAAUUGGUUAAAUAUGUUAUUGAUGUUAUAA